GGUUUACGUUGGCUCUGCAGGUUGCCUGAGCUGUGAAGAGCUCCUUAUUCUUGCUGCUCAAGGGUGUGUUGGGCAGCAAUAAGGGCAUCAUGAUCAUUGCUGAAUCCCUAUGCUGAUCAAGCUUUGGCAAUAGGAGCCUCAUGCCCUGUAGUAAAUAUGCUCAUCUAAUGAUGACUUUUGAGACAGAGAGCUCCUCAACCAUCAUUCAGUUUGUUGUUCAGACUGGCCAUGGCAAACAAGACCAGAAAAAGCUGCUUUGCAUUCCUUCAAGAGCUGCAAAAUGCUCAAGACUUUAUGGAUUAUGGAUGAGUCGCCUGGAGAACUGUUCCUGUAACUCCAGCAGGAUAUGUGACCCAGUGACAUGCAAAGCAGCCAGCUUAAAGCUACAGCUGGAAACUCAGGAAACAACAAGAUGCCUUGUCUGGAAAUGUGGUUUGGAGCACCACUCAGACUCUUCUCUGGUCCAAUUUUCUCACUUGCAUAGCCCAAGAAUGGGGAAUAAGAGACUAGCUGGCUUUUGGGGGUCUUGGCCUUCUGCAAGUAGCAUGAUUUGUCUUAUGGGAAGUCAGUUUGUGUCUUGAUAUCCUAGGAGCUGAGAAUUGUUGUAGAAUAAAGCUGCUCCAGGUUUCCCCUGCUGUCCUUGAGGAAAAA